rnacentral:rRNA from 1 species
UAGGGAAUCUUCCACAAUGGACGCAAGUCUGAUGGAGCAACGCCGCGUGAGUGAAGAAGGUUUUCGGAUCGUAAAGCUCUGUUGUUGGUGAAGAAGGAUAGAGGCAGUAACUGGUCUUUAUUUGACGGUAAUCAACCAGAAAGUCACGGCUAACUACGUGCCAGCAGCCGCGGUAAUACGUAGGUGGCAAGCGUUGUCCGGAUUUAUUGGGCGUAAAGCGAGCGCAGGCGGAAUGAUAAGUCUGAUGUGAAAGCCCACGGCUCAACCGAGGAACUGCAUCGGAAACUGUCAUUCUUGAGUGCAGAAGAGGAGAGUGGAAUUCCAUGUGUAGCGGUGGAAUGCGUAGAUAUAUGGAAGAACACCAGUGGCGAAGGCGGCUCUCUGGUCUGCAACUGACGCUGAGGCUCGAAAGCAUGGGUAGCGAACAGG